AGAGCAAACUUUGACUGGACCAAAAGCCAGCUCCUAGGAAAGAACACAAGAAGACUUGAAGACCAAGUUAGCUUACAAAAGAACAAAAAUACCCCGGUAGUCUAUGAGAAGCAUAAGAGCAGGCUUUCCAAAUUAAAAGGUUCAAAGCUGAAACUGUCAAAAAUUAUUACACUGAAGACUGUGUGGUCAAAUAAAUUGCAACAGACAGCUAGAUAACAGCCUGAGAAGUGCAAUGGAAGUGCUAAACAAAAGCAUCUCGAUACUUUAAUAAGAACAGCU
rnacentral:lncRNA from 1 species